CAGUAGCCGCGGGAAUACGAAGGGGGCUAGCGUUGCUCGGAAUGACUGGGCGUAAAGGGCGCGUAGGCGGCGGCCAAAGUCAGGCGUGAAAUUCCCGGGCUCAACCUGGGGGCUGCGUUUGAUACUUGGUUGCUUGAGUGGGGAAGAGGGUCGUGGAAUUCCCAGUGUAGAGGUGAAAUUCGUAGAUAUUGGGAAGAACACCGGUGGCGAAGGCGGCGACCUGGUCCUUUACUGACGCUGAGGCGCGAAAGCGUGGGGAGCAAACAGGAUUAGAUACCCCAGUAGUCCCUGUCUCUUAUAC
rnacentral:rRNA from 1 species